GACGAACGCUGGCGGCGUGCUUAACACAUGCAAGUCGAACGGAAAGGCACUGCUUUUGUGGGGUGCUCGAGGGGCGAACGGGUGAGUAACACGUGAGUAACCUGCCCUUGACUUUGGGAUAACUUCAGGAAACUGAGGCUACUACAAUAUAGGAGCUCCUCCUGCGGGGAGGGGGUUGGAAAGUUUCGGCGGUUGGGGAUGGACUCGCGGGUUAUCGGCUAGUUGGUGGGGGAGUGGCUGACCAAGGCAUUGACGGGUAGCCGGCCCGAGAGGGUGACCGGCCACCUUGGGCCUGCGGUACGGACCAGACUCCUACGGGAGGCAGCAGUGGGGAAUAUGGCACAAUGGGCGGAAGUCGGAUGCAGCAACGCUGCGUGCGGGAUGACGGCCUGCGGGUUGUAAACCGCUUUCGCCUGAGACGAAGCGGUAGUGACGGUAAUGGGUAAAGAAGCACCGGCUAACUACGUG
rnacentral:rRNA from 1 species